GAACCUGUGGCAUAUGGAAGUUCCCAGGCUAGGGGUCAAAUCAGAGCUAUAGCUGCUGUCCUACACCAUAGUCACAGCAAUGUGGGAUCCGAGCAACAUCUGCGACCUGUAUACCACAGCUCCUUAACCCACUGAGCGAGGCCAGGGAUUGAACCUGCAUCCUCAUGGAUCCUAGUUGGGUUCGUUAACUGCUGAGCCAUGAGGAGAACUCCUCAGAAAGACAAGGCUGAUGAAAUAUCACUGUGUCUGGUAAUGGCCAGUUUCCUCAAGGAAGGUGUGAAUCACUAGCACCAGCACUGUCCUCAAAUGCAGUACAAAGCACUUGGAUAAUUAUAUUUUCAUGUCAGUAAAAACACCAUCCACCCAAUGAUCUUACGUCUACUUUAGAGUUAGAGCACUUCUACGGUAUUAUUGCAGUAUUACUCUGAAGUGUGGUAUUCAGCAGUAGCCAUUAAAGUAGCAGAGCUGUGAUUGAAUAAUCUCCAUGGGUCUAUUAGUUCCCUAAAGCUACUACAACAAAGUACCACAAAUCAUAUGACUUAAGCAACAGGAAUUUCUUGUCUCUCAGUUCUGGAAACUAGAGGUCAGAGAUCAGUAUGUCGGUGGAGUUGGUUGAUUGGUUCCUGCUGAGAGCUGUGAGGGGGGAACUGUUCCCUCUCCCCUGGCUUCAAGUGGUUUGCUGGCCAUCUUUGGCAUCUCUUGGCUUGUACAUGAUCCCCCAGUCUUUGCCUUCAUCUUCACGUGGUGUUUUCCAUAUGUGUGUGUGUGUCCAAAUUUCUCCUUUUUAUAAGGACACCCAUCAUAUUGGAUUAAGUGCCUAUCCUCCCACUAGCAGGACCUCAUUUUAACUAACUGAAUUAGCAAACAAUCUAUUUCCAAAUGAAGUCAUAUUCUAGGCACUGGGAGUUAGGAGUUCAAAAUAUAAAUUGGCGGAGUUCCCGUCAUGGCGCAGCAGAAAUGAAUCUGACUAGGAGCCAUGAGGUGGCAGGUUCGAUCCCUGGCCUUGCUCAGUGGGUUAAGGAUCUGGCAUUGCUGUGAGCCGUGGUGUAAGUUGCAGACACGGGUUGGAUCCUGUGUUGCUGUGGCUGUUGUGUAGGCUGGCAGCUACAGCUCUGAUUAGACCCCUGGCCUGGGAACCUCCAUAUGUCGUAGGUGCGGCUCUAAAAAGACAAAAGACAAAAUAUACAUGGAUUGGCAGCAGCAAGGGUAGUGUUAGGGGAUGGGACACAAUUUCACUUGUGACAGUGGUAUUAUGGUGAAAGUAGGUCACCUGAAAUCAGAAUCCUUCUUGAAAAGAUGAUUAAAGCAUAGGUAUAGAAGAUAACCUCUGACUGGCUCUUAACUAACUCUCUCUCUCUCUCUCUCCUGCUAUGCUGCAUGCUUUCCAAAGAUUCUAGAUUUGUUCUAAAUCAAAAGAUUCUUCUUCAAAACAUUUUUUUGCCCAUAGGAAAAAAACAAAGUAUUUACAAAAUACACAUCCUCAAACUUUGCCCAAUAAGUUUUAUUAGAGACCCUCUCUAUUGCUGGCAGUUUUGCUGAUUUUUCCUUUAACCCUCAUAUCCUCAUUGGAUAAUAUAGCAACUCAAAAACAAUUUGAGGGGAGUGCCCGUCGUGGCGCAGUGGUUAACAAAUCCAACUAGGAUCCCUGGCUUGCUCAGUGGGUUAACGAUCCAGCGUUGCCGUGAGCUGUGGUGUAGGUUGCAGACGCGGCUCGGAUCCCACAUUGCUGUGGCUGUGGUGUAGGCCGGUGGCUACAGCUCCAAUGGGACUCCUAGCCUGGGAACCUCCAUAUGCCGCGGGAAAUUCUUUUUUUUGAAUGAUUUUUAUUUUUUCCAUUAUAGUUGGUUUACAGUGUUCUGUCAAUUUUCUACUCUACAGCAAAGUGACCCAGGCACGUUUACAUAUAUACAUUCUUUUUCUUGCAUUAUCUUCCAUCAUAAGGGACCAGAUAUAGUUCCCAGUGCUAUACAGCAGGGUCUCAUUGCUUAUCCAUUCCAAAGGCAAUAGUUUAAGGAUAAAAACACAAAGAAGACUUGACUCUCCUCACUAUGGAGGCUUGUACUCUAGCAGUAAAGCCAAAUAAAGAUACCCUUCUCAAAUAAAGAUAGCCAUUUGAAUUGGAAUUUAAUUUAGAAAAAAUUUCACCAUUCUACAAAGCAACAUGAGAUUUUACACAGUAACAACAGCAACAAAAUUUUAAGGAGGAAAACAAGGCAGUUGUUCAUGUUUGAUUCUGAUCAGAUGCUCAGAACUAGAUCCCUUUUCCUGAAAAUUGUUCAAUGGUCACCUGCAUGCAUCCUUAGGCUCCUCUAGGAAUAAGGUACCUGAUCAUGACUCGUGCAGAUGAUUUAUUACAAACAGCUUUUCCAUUAUUUGCAUUUUAGAUGUUUUAGUGGCACUUUCUGUAUAUCAACUGUGUUUUAAUUGCAGAUAAAAUAGUUAAAGGUAUCAAAAUAAACCAAUAACUAAAGGCUAUUGCUCUUUCUCAAGUUCUUGAGAAAAAUUCAGAGAUACACAGUUCAUACCCACAAUCUAGUGGACAAAGUUCUGAUUGCCCAAUAGGCUACAUAAUAAAACCCAAGCCAAAUUCAGUAACUGAGAAGCUUUUGUAAUCUUAAAGGCACAAGGGGCUUAAUCCAAUAUGCCUGCAAUGUCCGUGUCCCUCUAACCCCAUCAUAACGGCCUAAGCAACUACUUUCAGUGCAAAAUUUCCCCUUGAUGAUUCUUUUACUUAAACACCACUUGUCUGCAAUUUGGAAAAGUGAGUGAAAGCCAUGGGAGACUAUGUGUUUGCUUUUGCCUCAUAUGCUUGUUGAGAUGAAAAGACAACAAAAUCAUAGCAAACACAUAAAUAGAGUUCACUGGAUACAAGCACCAUUCUAAGUGCUUUGCCAGUAUUAAGAUAUUUAAUCAUUGAAAUGGAGUUCCCAUUCUGACACAGUGGAAACGAGAAACAAAUCUGACUAGGAACCAUGAAGUUGCAGGUUCUAUCCCUGGCCUUGCUAAGUGGGUUAAGGAUCCAAUGUUGCUGUGAGGUGUGGUGUAGGUUGCAGAUUCAGCUUGGAUCCCAUGUUGCUAUGGCUGUGGCUUAGCCCAGCAGCUACAGCUCCAAUUGGACCCCUAGCCUGGGAACCUCCAUAUGCCAUGGGUAUGCCCUAAAAAAGCAAAAUGAAUGAAUGAAUGAAUGAAUGAAUUUAAUCGAAAUUUUGCUCACAGGUAUCUUCUUGAAUAAUAUUAUUCUAACAUGGCAUUUGAUUGAUUUUAGUUAUGACACAGUUUACUAUCUGCUUGUUUCUUUAAUCUGAUUUUAAGGACACUAGUGUGAGAGUGAGUGCUUUAAGAGAUUUAGAUGAAAAUGCUUCUUAAACCUUUGAGAAGAGCAUUGCCUGUCCACUUUAAUGUCUUUUUGUAAAAUAUAUUAUGCUCUGCAAUUUACCAUCUGUCCAUUUGUGAGUGAGUUAUCAUCUGUGGGUGAGUUAGUAUCUCUCAACUCAGUCAUACAGUAGGAUUAACCUUUUUUUUUUUUUUUCCUUUUUUGGGUCUCACCUGUGGCAUAUGGAAGUUCCCAGGCUAUGGGUCGAAUUGGAGCUACAACUGCUGGCCACAGCCACAGCAACACAAGAUCCGAGCCACAUCUGCAACCUAUACCACAGUUCACAGCAAUGCUGGAUCCUUAACCCACUGAGCAAAGCCAGGGAUUGAACCUGAAUCCU
rnacentral:lncRNA from 1 species